CGGAAAUUUUCUUUCCCCGGGUGUGGCCGGCGCGCGGGGUGAGUAACGUAUCCCACCUACCUUUGACUGAGGGAUAACCCGUCGAAAGUCGGCCUAAUCCCCACAGGGUAUUGUCUGCGGGGCAUCCAACGACGAUAUAAAGUUUUCAUCGUUCAGAAAUGGGGAUGCCUCUGAUUAAUUUUUUUUGGCGGGGAUAACGCCCCCCAACGAUACGAACAGUAGGUGCUCUGAAAGGAAUGUCCCCCACAGGAGAACAGAGACACGGUACAAACCUCUACGAGACACAGCAGUGAAGUAUAUUUGUCAAUGCGAGAGCGUCUGCCACACACGAGUAGCGUACAAAAAGACGCCCCUAUGGGUUGUACACUGCUUUUAUGCGGGGAUAGUGAGAGGGACGUGUCCCUCAUCGCAGGCCGCAUAUAUAUAAGGACCCGCUUAUUCCGCCACAGCAGCCGCGAUUAUACGGGAGGUCCUCGUGUUAUCCGGAUUUUUUGGGUAUAAAGAGAGCGUAGGCCGUGGAUUAAGCGUGUUGUGAAAUGCAGGUGCUCAACGUCCGCUCUACAGCGCGAACUGGUCCACUUGAGUGUGCGCAGCGCACGCGGAAUUCGUCGUGUAGCGGAGAAAUGCAGAGAUAUGACGAAGAUCUCCGAUUGCGAAGGCAGCUUGCGAGAGCACAACUGACUCUGAAGCUCGAAAGCGCGGGUAUCGAACAGG
rnacentral:rRNA from 2 species